rnacentral:lncRNA from 1 species
CAGCACGUCCCUGAUGGUGAGCCCCGCCACGGGGGUCUCGUUCACCUCCAGCAGCAGCUCCUCCGACACCAACUUGCUGCCGCUCUCAUAGGCCACCUUGCCGGGCUUCACCUCCCCCAGGUAGGGGAACUGUCCAUUCUCGGCGCCCCCCUUCAGUUCAAAGCCCAGCUGGCCCUCCGGGUUCCUGCCAAUGACACUCUCAUGGACUUUGCUAGUCCAGUGGCUUUUCUUUUUCAAGCUUUUGGACAUGGCAGUGGGGCGAGUCGCCUCAGUUCCUGGGCUCCUUGGGGUUAGGGGGGCUGGUGGUGAGAGAAUGAGGAUGGAGGAGCAAGGGGGCCCAGGGGGAAGAACAGCAGACUUUGCCUUCGCCCCCCUCUAUUCGGUGCUUUCCCUCUUCUUUGGAUGGAGUGUGGACGAGGAAGGGGGAGGAUGAGAGGGACGGCUGGGCAGAGGUAGGAGAGCUUGGAUGAGGUUGUGCUGUCCCUUGAAUGACACUCAAGGCUGUGGCCCCGCAGCAGAGGAAGCGGAGGAAGCAGAGGAAGCAGAGGAAGUGGUGGCGUCGGCGGCGGCGGCGGCAGCCGGAGCGAGCAGUAGCCGAGCUGGUUUGCAUCCAAGAGAGGGG